AACAUCGCUCUUUGAAAAAAUAAUUAUAAAGAGUACUGCCUGCCCAGUGAUAAAAUUUAAACGGCCGCGGUAUUUUGACCGUGCAAAGGUAGCAUAAUCAUUUGUUCUUUAAUUGAGGACUAGUAUGAAAGGCAAAACGAAAGCUUAACUGUCUCCUUUUUAAAAAAUGAAAUUAGUAUUUUUGUGAAGAAACAAAAAUAAUAAAGUAAGACGAGAAGACCCUGUCGAGCUUAAGAAAAUUUUUAUAAUAAUUUUUUAACAAGAUAAACAAAACUUUACUAUAAAAAUAAAAUAAAAAUAUCUUUGGUUGGGGCAACCACGAAGAAAAAAAAACCUUCGUUUUUAAAGAAAAAUUUACAAAUUUAAAAAUUAUUAAAAAUUUAAAAGAUCCAGAAAAUUCUGAUCAAAGAAAAAAGUUACCGCAGGGAUAACAGCGUUAUUCUCUUUAAGAGCUCUUAUUGACAAGAGAGUUUGCGACCUCGAUGUUGGACCGGGGCACCCAAGAGGUGUAGCAGCCUCUAAAGGUAGGUCUGUUCGACCUUUAAAGCCCUACGUGAU
rnacentral:rRNA from 1 species